rnacentral:snRNA from 1 species
AAUGGAUCCGUAACUUCGGGAA